rnacentral:rRNA from 1 species
GGUUGAUCCUGCCGGAGGCCACUGCUAUGGGGGUCCGACUAAGCCAUGCGAGUCAUGGGGGUGUCCCUUCUGGGACACCACCGGCGGACGGCUCAGUAACACGUCGGUAACCUACCCUCGGGAGGGGGAUAACCCCGGGAAACUGGGGCUAAUCCCCCAUAGGUGUGGGGUACUGGAAGGUCCCCACACCGAAAGGGGCUUCGUGCCCGCCCGAGGAUGGGCCGGCGGCCGAUUAGGUAGUUGGUGGGGUAACGGCCCACCAAGCCGAAGAUCGGUACGGGCCAUGAGAGUGGGAGCCCGGAGAUGGACACUGAGACACGGGUCCAGGCCCUACGGGGCGCAGCAGGCGCGAAACCUCCGCAAUGCGGGAAACCGCGACGGGGGGACCCCCAGUGCCGUGGCAACGCCACGGCUUUUCCGGAGUGUAAAAAGCUCCGGGAAUAAGGGCUGGGCAAGGCCGGUGGCAGCCGCCGCGGUAAUACCGGCGGCCCGAGUGGUGGCCGCUAUUAUUGGGCCUAAAGCGUCCGUAGCCGGGCCCGUAAGUCCCUGGCGAAAUCCCACGGCUCAACCGUGGGGCUUGCUGGGGAUACUGCGGGCCUUGGGACCGGGAGAGGCGGGGGGUACCCCUGGGGUAGGGGUGAAAUCCUAUAAUCCCAGGGGGACCGCCAGUGGCGAAGGCGCCCCGCUGGAACGGGUCCGACGGUGAGGGA